AACGAACGUUGGCGGCAGGCCUAACACAUGCAAGUCGAGCGCGCCCUUCGGGGUGAGCGGCGGACGGGUGAGUAACGCGUGGGAACGUGCCCUUCUCUGCGGAAUAGCCUCGGGAAACUGAGAGUAAUACCGCAUACGCCCUUUGGGGGAAAGAUUUAUCGGAGAAGGAUCGGCCCGCGUUGGAUUAGGCAGUUGGUGGGGUAAUGGCCCACCAAGCCGACGAUCCAUAGCUGGUUUGAGAGGAUGAUCAGCCACACUGGGACUGAGACACGGCCCAGCCUCCUACGGGAGGCAGCAGUGGGGAAUCUUAGACAAUGGGGGCAACCCUGAUCUAGCCAUGCCGCGUGAGUGAUGAAGGCCUUAGGGUUGUAAAGCUCUUUCAGCUGGGAAGAUAAUGACGGUACCAGCAGAAGAAGCCCCGGCUAACUCCGUG
rnacentral:rRNA from 1 species